UAUAUUUUACAUAUACAUUUUUUUAAUAUUAUAUGUAUUUAUCAUAUACAUUCUAAUAUUUCUAAAAUUAUUUCAACAAAAUAAGAUAAUUUUAGAGAUAAUAUUAAAAUCCUAUAUUUUCUUACCAUUAACUUACAACUCGUAACUGUAUUUUGAAUAUUGUACAGCAUUAAAGAACCGUGACGAGAUAAAAUGAAUAUGAAUGAAAAUUUUGACGGCCAUAUAUAAUAAAGUGGUUUUCGCUUCUCGAAGUUCCGAUGAGGGUUCGUCCCGCGCAUAAUUGGGGAUCUCAUGUAAAACACGCAUGUGCGCAAAUGCUGUCUUGUUUAAGUGGCACAACAGAAAAACCGAUUACGCGGAUGGGAGAGAGUUGAUUUCCCCCAAAAGUAAAGAGGAGGAAAAUGAGCUAGAAGGCGAGCAUAGUAGCGCCGCCACAGCUGCCCGUGGCGAAUCCGUUUUUAUCCCCGCGUUGGGGUUGCGAGAAACCCCUCGAUCCAACGCAGUCCAUCAUUCUCGUCGACGACUUGUCAACUCCAUUAAGUUAUGAGCAGGCAUGUGCGAAUAUUUCAAGAGUUUUCAUCUCUGUCCUCGAGCACAAAAUUCGAUUCACUUUUCGUGCGCAAGUAAAUUGACGUGUCGAGUAGUUGAAAUAAAGUUAGAAGACCAUGUGCAUCACUUCAAAAUCAAAUUUACAAUUAUAUCCGAUCCAAUUAAAGAGCUCAAAAUUCAAUGUACAGACUUGUUAAAGACUUCUAUUUCUAUCAAACAAAUCAACAGAAAACAAACAAAUGUUGAAAAACAAAGAUAAAUCGGAAAAAGAAAAAAUGAAAAGGGAUUCUUCCUCCAUGAUAUAGAGUCGAGAGCUUGGUAAAGGAAGGGAGCAAAUAUCAUUACGCGGCUGCGGCGCGAUUCGAUUAAAACGCUAUUCACGUGUAUCUAGCCGAGGUCCGCAUAAACCUCGAAUAUAAACUGGCCGAUAGUAAAGCGGCGUAACGUAAUUCAGGCCGGGCUGAAAAGCGGCGGGGUGUUCGUACAAAAGGAGAAGGGCUGCUGCUGUUGCUGCUGCUGCGGUGGUGGGCCAGAACGUGACGCAGCGUGACUCGUUUACUCGCUACGCUAGCACAAUGCGUUCGUCAGUGGCGUAACAUACUAUGUAGUACAUACAUAUAGAGUGCUUCAAAAAUACAAACCUGUUAGAUAAUAAUUCUCCGAACGGAGAGUUUAGUUGUUUUUUAUCUAAUUAAAAAUUUUAUUAAUUAAGCUUUAAGGAUACUUACACUUAAGUUUUAGUUUAUCAAUAAAUGAUUAUCUACGAUUAUAUGAUUAUAAAAUAAUAUGUUGAAUAAAGUGAAAUCAUAAUAAAAUA